rnacentral:lncRNA from 1 species
ACAAAAUUACUUAUUUCAAUCAUGAAGUCAAACCAUUCAGACCAACAUUAAAAUGAAUGUUCUGAAUUAUAAAAGAGGAAUCAUGAUCCUAUGCUUGAGGUCCUGGUAGCCUAGCAUGCGUUUGUUAACCACAAAAUUAAUGUAGCCAAGGAGGAUCAAAUGAAAAUCAUAUAACUAGCAUUUAGAUAAUAAGUUCCUGAUUGUUGAAGGUAGUUUCAGAUUUACUUCAUAAAUUGUCUUGUCUAGUUAAUAGUCAUUAUUUUUCUCCCCACAAUUUUUUUCUUUUCUUCUACAACUUCUGUCUUAUUGUAAAGCAGAAAGACAGGAAGGAGUUCUUUCUGCUGACAUUUUCUGCUUCUAAAAACUACAAGUGAUAUUCAAAGAUAUGAUGCUAAUGUCCAUCCAGAAUCAGGAGUAAAAGACUACUUACCAUGUUGAAUUAUAACUCUAUCCAAGGUAGCGAAGCAAGACUCCAUCAUUCCCCAAUACAAAUCCCUUCUUGUCG